rnacentral:rRNA from 1 species
AGUGAACGCUGGCGGUAGGCCUAACACAUGCAAGUCGAACGGCAGCACAGUAAGAGCUUGCUCUUACGGGUGGCGAGUGGCGGACGGGUGAGGAAUACAUCGGAAUCUACUUUUUCGUGGGGGAUAACGUAGGGAAACUUACGCUAAUACCGCAUACGACCUACGGGUGAAAGCAGGGGAUCUUCGGACCUUGCGCGAAUGAAUGAGCCGAUGUCGGAUUAGCUAGUUGGCGGGGUAAAGGCCCACCAAGGCGACGAUCCGUAGCUGGUCUGAGAGGAUGAUCAGCCACACUGGAACUGAGACACGGUCCAGGCUCCUACGGGAGGCAGCAGUGGGGAAUAGUGGGCAAUGGGCGCAAGCCUGGUCCAGCCAUACCGCGUGGGUGAAGAAGGCCUUCGGGUUGUAAAGCCCUUUUGUUGGGAAAGAAAAGCAGCAGGUUAAUACGCCGCUGUUCUGACGGUACCCAAAGAAUAAGCACCGGCUAACUUCGUG